UACCAGGUCUUGACAUCCUCUGAAAACUCUAGAGAUAGAGCUUCUCCUUCGGGAGCAGAGUGACAGGUGGUGCAUGGUUGUCGUCAGCUCGUGUCGUGAGAUGUUGGGUUAAGUCCCGCAACGAGCGCAACCCUUGAUCUUAGUUGCCAUCAYUAAGUUGGGCACUCUAAGGUGACYGCCGGUGACAAACCGGAGGAAGGUGGGGAWGACGUCAAAUCAUCAUGCCCCUUAUGACCUGGGCUACACACGUGCUACAAUGGACGGUACAAAGAGCUGCAAGACCGCGAGGUGGAGCUAAUCUCAUAAAACCGUUCUCAGUUCGGAYYSUAGGCUGCAACUCGCCUACAUGAAGCUGGAAUCGCUAGUAAUCGCGGAUCACGCAUGCCGCGG
rnacentral:rRNA from 2 species